GUUCCCAAAUGUAUCAUCACACAAUGGUGCAUUGAAAUGACUGCAUGCUUCACAAUCCAUGGACAUCAUUGGCUUCCAAUAUAAGCACACCCAUAAGUUCCAGUAAGCUCUCCAUAAUGGAUCCGCAAAUCACAAUUCAAAUAAACUGCAGUGACAUAAUGCAUGCAUGAUGUGGACAAUAACUCCCUGUGAACUUCAAUAGCUUGCUCAAAAACUCCUUUCACAUCAUAAAAGGUUGUGGCACUCAAAGAGAACAUGCUCCAACCACAAUUAAAAAUACCCUCCAAGUCAGAAGCAUAUCUAGUGAAUUUAGCACAAUAAAU
rnacentral:misc_RNA from 1 species